UACGUAGGGGGCUAGCGUUGUCCGGAAUCAUUGGGCGUAAAGAGCGUGUAGGCGGUCCGGUAAGUCCGCUGUGAAAGUCGGGGGCUCAACCCUCGAAUGCCGGUGGAUACUGUUGGGCUUGAGUACGGAAGAGGCGAGUGGAAUUCCUGGUGUAGCGGUGAAAUGCGCAGAUAUCAGGAGGAACACCAAUUGCGAAGGCAGCUCGCUGGGACGUUACUGACGCUGAGACGCGAAAGCGUGGGGAGCAAACAGG
rnacentral:rRNA from 1 species